rnacentral:rRNA from 1 species
GACGUAGGGCGCGAGCGUUGUCCGGAAUUAUUGGGCGUAAAGAGCUCGUAGGCGGCUUGUUGCGUCGGCUGUGAAAACCCGCGGCUCAACCGUGGGCUUGCAGCCGAUACGGGCAGGCUAGAAUUCGGUAGGGGAGACUGGAAUUCCUGGUGUAGCGGUGAAAUGCGCAGAUAUCAGGAGGAACACUGGUGGCGAAGGCGGGUCUCUGGGCCGAUAUUGACGCUGAGGAGCUAAAGCGUGGGGAGCGAACAGG